rnacentral:rRNA from 1 species
AACGAACGCUGGCGGCAGGCUUAACACAUGCAAGUCGAGCGCCCCGCAAGGGGAGCGGCAGACGGGUGAGUAACGCGUGGGAAUCUACCCAUCCCUACGGAAUAACGCAUGGAAACGUGUGCUAAUACCGUAUACGUCCUUCGGGAGAAAGAUUUAUCGGAGAUGGAUGAGCCCGCGUUGGAUUAGCUAGUUGGUGGGGUAAAGGCCUACCAAGGCGACGAUCCAUAGCUGGCCUGAGAGGAUGAUCAGCCACACUGGGCCUGAGACACGGCCCAGACUCCUACGGGAGGCAGCAGUUGGGAAUAUUGGACAAUGGGCGCAAGCCUGACCCUGCCAUGCCGCGUGAGGGAUGAAGGCCCUAGGGUUGUAAAGCUCUUUCACCGGUGAAGAUAAUGACGGUAACCGGAGAAGAAGCCCCGGCUAACUGCGUGCCAGCAGCCGCAGUAAAAC